UACGUAGGGUGCAAGCGUUGUCCGGAAUUAUUGGGCGUAAAGAGCUCGUAGGCGGUUUGUCGCGUCUGCUGUGAAAACCCGAGGCUCAACCUCGGGCCUGCAGUGGGUACGGGCAGACUAGAGUGCGGUAGGGGAGAUUGGAAUUCCUGGUGUAGCGGUGGAAUGCGCAGAUAUCAGGAGGAACACCGAUGGCGAAGGCAGAUCUCUGGGCCGUAACUGACGCUGAGGAGCGAAAGCAUGGGGAGUGAACAGG
rnacentral:rRNA from 1 species